AUUCUCUAUUGUUCUUCGAAUAACAAGGCUCGGUGAUCGGAAUCGUGUCGUGAAUUAAUUAAGAUAAGUUGUCAACGCUGAUUAUCGACGUGUAACAUCUCCUUCAAGAAUCAUCACAAUAGGAACGACGAAUUCUUGUGGAUCAUUGUCGAACAGCUGUGCAUUAUAAUUAAAAUGAAAGUGUUUGACGGAGGCUAAUGAUGCUGUUGUUUACCAAACGACCCCGCUUCUUCGUAUUCGAUGUCACCGUUCGAUUGCAGAACGUUCUCUUGAACGGAAAUCAAACGUAUAUAAAUGGUUGUAAAUCGAUAUGUUAAUGUGGCGCAAAGUUCGGCGGGGUCGGUUAGGUCAAUGUGACGUCAGCGGAUACGGAGACCCUCGACGUGGUGAACUGCGACAAUAUUUGCGUGUAAAACGUUUCUUGAAUGUAUGCAUACGGUAUGAUCGUGGCCAAUAUAUCGACUCGUCCCUUCCUUAUUUCGGAAUUCUGCUGGAAACAGGUUGACGCUAACCCUAGCAGUAGUCGAUCAUUUUUGCGAUUUCUAUGCUUCGAUGCAGACGAUUAAUAUUGAAAGAGAAGAAACGGGGAAAAUGGAACAAGAUAAAAAUAAAUUAAUAAAUUGGAUAGUCAGUCGUUUCUUCGGAUGACCCGUGGUCCAUUCUCUGAUCCUUCACAGUUGAUGCUCCUCCCUGUUGAUUCCACCAUGGAGAAAAAAGAAAAACGAUAACCCCAGAUACCAUAGCGAGUACAUACGUGUUUGUUAUCAUUCUCGUAAUACUCGGACGAUCGUGUUGCUAACCGAGAUGCAGCAUAUUCGCUUUACAAGUGAGUUUUUUUAAAACGGCCAAAAUGUAUCGGAAUGGAUAAGAACAUCGGGCAAUGUUUUAUCAUACGAUAAAUCCAGCUUAUCGAUCAUGCUUGAGUUUUGUUUCGACGCGUUGUUUAAAUCAAUUUCGUUGAUGGACAGUGCAACGCGAUACCGUGACGGAGGGCCAUUUUAAUCACCAUUAAUGAGCAUUUCGAUCAUUGAAAUACCCUCUGUUCGGCGUUGCACAGACAAAACGGUUGGAUACACGGGAUGACGCUCGUAAAGGAGACAUUUAUUGGUCGUAAAGGCAUGCUGGCUGUAUUUUGUGCAGUUUGGACCGAUCCUUAAAACGUAGAGAACUCGUCUUUCUGACGAUCGUUUUGUACCAGCAUGUUUAGGAACCAUCAUAUGACAAUGGGGGCGUACGUAGUUGACAAACAUGGGAGCGGCGUAUUGGGUCGAUGGCAAAAGAAAUAAAGGGAAAAAAAGGGAAGGAUAUAGCAGUUGGGAUAUAUGUAUGUAUGCAAGGAAGAGAAUAUAUUCUGACUCGACCUUUCUACCUAGCCUUACGUGUAUUUCACUCGCUUUAUACCUAGGCGUGGCCUAUGUGUUCCCUUGCCUCUGU